CACAGUCUCAAGGCUCUACUCCUAUAUUAGAAGCAUCCUCGUCAAAUAGAAACCACUGCUCCAAAAAAAUUACAUAGCCGCGUCAAUUUAAUCUACUUCUGGGACUAGCUUUAGUGCUGCUACAUAUAUACAAAAGGGCUUCAGAUUGCAGAAUGAUGCUGCAAUGUUAAUUUUUAAAUAUUCUGCAGUGCCACUAAUUUUAGGGUUGCUGCACCAGUGCCCCUAAGCUUUGGGGCCCAUUGGGUGUACAUCACAUAUAGGGAGAUCAAAUGGGCGUUCAGGCUGCUUCCUCCCAGUUUAUAGAGUCCUGGUCGGGAGAGAUUGGAGGAGGCCUGGACUAGAACCCCCCCAGCAGCCAGAUCUAGACCCAAGAAAAGCAUUCAAAAGUAUAGAAGCAUGGGGGUGGCUAAAAUGUGUGUGUGGGGCAGUUUGUAUAUACCCAUACAUUCAGACGUCAACACUAUAUACACAUACACCCCUGCAUGCAAACGCCAAC